AGAUUGAACGCUGGCGGCAGGCCUAACACAUGCAAGUCGAGCGGCAGCACGGGUACUUGUACCUGGUGGCGAGCGGCGGACGGGUGAGUAAUGCCUAGGAAUCUGCCUGAUAGUGGGGGAUAACGUUCGGAAACGGACGCUAAUACCGCAUACGUCCUACGGGAGAAAGUGGGGGAUCUUCGGACCUCACGCUAUCAGAUGAGCCUAGGUCGAUUAGCUAGUUGGUAGGGU
rnacentral:rRNA from 1 species